AUGGCAUAUUUCCAUGUGUGUUGCUAUUAUGCCAUUACUCUUCUUAGCAUCCCUUCUUUUCCGCCGGCAGGCCCCUCUACUUGCCCAUCCGCGUCCUCAUCACCGCCGAGACCUUCACCCUUUCCAGCAACAUCAUUGUGGACACCUCGGUCUUCCUCCUCCGGUUCAUUCUGGACGACUCUGCCCUAUACCUCUCAAAUAAAUGUGACACCGAGACAGGAGACUUGAGGAAAGACUACAUUUGCGUUGUGGAUGUGGACCUCUUGGAGUUGGUGAUCACCACUUGGAAGGGGGCCACCACCGAGAAGCUGGUGAGUUCUCCAGUGGAAGAGUAACAAGGACCUUUCUUUCACUGAGAAGCUCUAGGUGUUGUUGCUGUGAUUUUUUCAGGCUGUAAUUGACUAUGUUCCAAUAGUAUUCUCUCCUGAUUUUUCACCUGUAUCUGUGGCCAGCGUCUUCAGAGGUUCUGUUGGCAUGAAGCAAGUGAAAUGUGUGUGUGUCUAUAUAAUGCUUUCCUUCACCCUUUUUCCUUCUGCCUCGUUCACUUGCCGGAUGUGGUUGUUUAGGCCUGUUGUCCUCCUCCCUCACGUUACGCAAUCCGCCAAGGGUGGGGGGCUACUCUGCGGCAUGCGCACAAUGCAAUUUUAGUUUUGGGGGGGUUUUGAGUGACUUCCAGUUUGAAUUUUUUUUUGGUUUUGAUGUCUAAACACAGCGGGGAUGACCAUGUCUUUUGUGGCCAUGUUUCGUGGGUUUUGGGUGUUUAGUUUUGCUGUUUACUUUAAGGCAGAAAUGGUCAGAACAUUUACUGUAUAUACUCGAGUAUAAGCCUAGUUUUUCAGCCCUUUUUUUAAGACUGAAAAAGCCCCCCUCGGCUUAUACUCGGGUGAGGGUCCUGGUUGGCUUAUAUUUGUGUCAGUUUAUACUCAAGAAUAUAUGGUACAUUUAUUAUUUUUCUCUAUUAUUAUUGGUAUUAUUACAUUUAUUUUGCUCUAUUUUAAUAUUGUUGUUAUUAUUAUUAUUAUUAUUAUUAUUAUUAUUAACUGCAUUUCUAUACUGCUUUUCUCACCCCUGGGGGUUUACAAUAUAAAGCGGUUUACAACAUAAUAAAUGGCAAAAUUCAAUGCCUUAAAAUAUAUAUAAAUAUAUCACAUAUCUAAAUAAAAUACAUACAAUUGUAGAUUAAAACCAUUAAAACUAUAAAAACAUCAAAGACAUAUGCAUAAAACUUGCUAUUACAG
rnacentral:lncRNA from 1 species